AUUGAACGCUGGCGGCAGGCCUAACACAUGCAAGUCGAGCGGUAGCACAGAGAGCUUGCUCUCGGGUGACGAGCGGCGGACGGGUGAGUAAUGUCUGGGAAACUGCCUGAUGGAGGGGGAUAACUACUGGAAACGGUAGCUAAUACCGCGUAACGUCGCAAGACCAAAGAGGGGGACCUUCGGGCCUCUUGCCAUCAGAUGUGCCCAGAUGGGAUUAGCUAGUAGGUGGGGUAAUGGCUCACCUAGGCGACGAUCCCUAGCUGGUCUGAGAGGAUGACCAGCCACACUGGAACUGAGACACGGUCCAGACUCCUACGGGAGGCAGCAGUGGGGAAUAUUGCACAAUGGUCGCAAGCCUGAUGCAGCCAUGCCGCGUGUAUGAAGAAGGCCUUCGGGUUGUAAAGUACUUUCAGCGAGGAGGAAGGCAUUGUGGUUAAUAACCACAGUGAUUGACGUUACUCGCAGAAGAACACCGGCUAACUCCGUGC
rnacentral:rRNA from 1 species